CGGACGGGUGAGUAAUGUAUGGGGAUCUGCCUGAUGGCGGGGGAUAACUACUGGAAACGGUAGCUAAUACCGCAUAAUGUCUACGGACCAAAGCGGGGGACCUCCGGGCCUCGCGCCAUCAGAUGAACCCAUAUGGGAUUAGCUAGUGGGUAAGGUAACGGCUUACCUAGGCGACGAUCCCUAGCUGGUCUGAGAGGAUGAUCAGCCACACUGGGACUGAGACACGGCCCAG
rnacentral:rRNA from 1 species